rnacentral:rRNA from 1 species
UACGGAGGGUGCGAGCGUUGUCCGGAAUCAUUGGGCGUAAAGGGCGCGUAGGUGGCCUGCUAAGCGUGCGGUGAAAGUCGGGGGCUCAACCCCCGAUCGGCCGUGCGAACUGGGAGGCUUGAGCACUGUAGAGGCAGGCGGAAUUCCGGGUGUAGCGGUGGAAUGCGUAGAGAUCCGGAAGAACACCGGUGGCGAAGGCGGCCUGCUGGGCAGUUUGCUGACACUGAGGCGCGAAAGCUAGGGGAGCAAACAGG